UUGCAGCCAAUUAAGCCAACCAUGCUCUUUUCUCCGUGGGGACCCGGUGUGCAACGGCUGCAAACAGCAGCCUCCUCCAUAGUGUAUGCAGCCUGUUGCCUGUAUGGGUUGCCCUAAGAGAGCCUGAAACAGCC
rnacentral:snoRNA from 1 species